CGUUUAUAUCGUCGUCACAAUACAUCUCUUCUCCUUCUUCUUCUUACAGUUACAGAAAAAACCCAGGCUUCUUCUUCGUCGUCCGUCGUCGCCCCCAUAACCACCACCAUCACCAGCUUCUUCUUCUUCUUCUCCAGAAUCAACGUCGACAUCAAGAAUAACACAAUAUUUCGAGAAAAAUUAAUUCAUUAACACCAUCUUCUGAAUCAACUCAACAACAGAGAUGCCCUAAUUUUUCCAAAAUUAUCAACUCAAUUCUGUAAAGUUCAUAUAGGUUGUUUAUUUCAUCAAAGAUGAGCACCGAAGAACCUAAAACUCGAAAGAGGAAAACUGUUGAAUUAAGAACGAAAAACAGGCACGAUGCUGAGACUAUGGCGAGGAGAGUAAACAAGGUGUUUACCAAAUUUUAUACCCCAACAGGAGUUGAUGUAAACAAGUUCAAGGUUAAGCCACACCCAAAAUGGACCAUAACAAGAAGAAAGUAGUGCUUAUUCUGGGAUUAUGUUCUUUAUUUCACGGAUUGGGUGAUGAACUGCGGGUUUGAAUAUCAUCGAAUGAAAUAGGUGAGGACAGAAUGGGUACAAGUCAUUUAUGAAGUUCUCUAAGACGAAGGAAGUUGCUGGAAGAAAGAAAACUAAUGGUGUUGUUUAGCUAAAAGUGUUUUUUAUAUGAGAUCCUGCCAGGCGUUUCUUUAUUUGAGUUCUUGAAAGACUUAAACAAUAAAUUAAUUGUUUAGAACUAUGUUUAGAAAUGGUUUCUUAUGUCAAGUAAAAUUGUGCAUUUUUGGGUGGAA